ACCUGCCUUCUGCCCUUAGGCUCCGGUAGACUGCAAAUGACCUGCUUUCUUUCUGUUCCCGGGCUGCGUUUGGACCCCUGUCGGACAGUAAAUCCCAAGAAUGGAACAGAUAAGAAGAUACUGAAAUUGGACGGUGCUGCCGUGCGGCUGCCGCAGGACACCUUUAAUAUCCCUGUUUCUCAGGCUGUAGAUGAAGGGGUUCAGCAUGGAGGUGAUCACCGUGUACAUCACUGAGGCCACUGCAGCCUUUCUCGGGGAAGAUGACACAUCUGAACUGAGGUACCCUCCAAAGCCUGUUCCGUAAAAUCAGCAAACAACUGACAGGAUAACUUCAGGAAGUGGGUAUUAAUUCUCACGGUAUAAGUGAAGACAUUAAGCACCAGAGUUUAAGUAGCUUGAUCCACUGAAAGAGAUUCAACUGUGUGGAACCUAUGCCGUGGAGAAUUGCUUUCUGCCAUUGUUAUCGUCCAGCAGUUGCCGAAUAGCUCUGACCUGAGCAAAGCAGUGAAACGCGGUGCUGUUGAGUGGGUUGCCACUGCACCUUUUUCAACUACUCUAGUCUUGUGGAGAAAAUACCCCUUCUAAAUUUUUUCUUCAUUGAAUACUCUCCCUCAGCUCCAGAGUACCAUAUAGAGUUUUCUUGUAUUUUAGAGUUACUGUUUUAUCAAAGUUUACCAGUCUUUUGUAUUACAUUUCUCCUGUCUAAAUCGACUGUGUGGUUUCUACUCAUUAUGGAUAUAGAUUGAUACAAACUCAAUAAAUAUUUUUGAAUGAAUAA
rnacentral:lncRNA from 1 species